rnacentral:rRNA from 1 species
UACGGAGGGUGCAAGCGUUGCUCGGAAUUAUUGGGCGUAAAGGGUAGGUAGGUGGUCUUAUUUGUCUGGGGUGAAAGCCUUGAGCUUAACUCGAGAAGUGCCCCAGAAACGGUAAGACUAGAGUCCUGGAGAGGGUCGUGGAAUUCCCGGUGUAGCGGUGAAAUGCGUAGAGAUCGGGAGGAACACCAGAGGCGAAGGCGGCGACCUGGACAGGAACUGACACUCAACUACGAAAGCAUGGGGAGCAAACAGG